GAUGAUAUACAUUGUACUUAAGUUAAAAGAACUCAUUGGUACAUGUCAGCGCCGGGAUUCGAAACCCGCAUCUCUGGCGUGAGAAGCGGGCGCUUACCCGACUGAGCUACCACCGCUCGCUAAACUGUAUCGCUUCUACUAGAAGAAAUUCAACAUCAUCUUGAAUUUAUUACCACCAGGUAAGUAGCUAAGGUAUUGAAAUAAUAAAGUUAUCUGACUACAUAAUUAUCUUAUACUUUUAUUUAUACCUAUAAUUAUUGUUACAGAAAUAAUGCAGUUACUCCAAUGAACCAGUUGUUUUGCACACUCCGAUAUUAUGCAACUGGCAGUCAGUUAAUUACUUGUGGAGAUGUGAUAGGUGUGGAAGAACCAACAGCUUGCAGAAUCAUUCAUAGAGUUACUCAUGCAAUAGCAUUAUUGUAUAAAAUAUACAUUAAAUCUCCUGAUACCAUUCAGGAACAACGUUUUUUUGCUCUCUAUAAUGUGGAAGUAUGGUUCCAAUACAUUGCACAAUAAAUCUUGUUCUUCCCUUGUAAAAUUAGGGGCACGAACACGAGAAGAAGCUGAUUGACUAUUCAUUUUACUUUGAAAUCACAACAACAAAUAAAUACAAACACCACCACGCGGUGAAAGCCGAAAUAAGUUUUGUUUUGAAAUAAGUAGUGUUAUUUUCUCUAUGUUUGAAAUUGAUAGAUUGACUCCGUUUUACGCUGAGUCGUUUCGAAUGUUCAAUAAAAAAUAUGAAGUCUCUCAUUAAAAAGAUGUGGAACUGAACGUAAAUAACAAAUUGCAGGAUGCUAAACGCAUUUAACUAAAUAGUAAUCAAAAGACCAUGGUGAAUUAUGAAGCUAAACAUGUUUAGGAUAAAAUUGUUUAGUGCAUUAAACGAAAUUAGCUAAAUGAAUUUAUGUAGUAUUUAAAUAGAAGUUCGUAACAGCCACCCUUAGGGUGCUUUUAUAAAAGUGAUAAAUGUAUUUAACUUUUUAUUUAAACACAAUUUGAAAUUAAAUUUCGUAAAACAUCUUUUACCACGACUUAAAUAUGAUUAGUAAUCUGUUAAACCUAAAUGCGGUCAAAUGGCUAUUUAACUUUACUAAACACAUUUAUCUACUGUCAUGGCGUCAGUCGCGGCGACCAGCUGACCGACCGGCUGUCAAGAGAACUUUUCCAUUUCUAGCAUUUUUCCUCAGUGAUGUCUAGUUGUUGUCUGUGAGAGAUUCAGAGGUCAUUGUUCAGAGGUUAUGUUGAGGUUAUCUAAUAAAUAAUGUAUUUGUGGGAUAUUUUGUUUGAUGACGAUGAUGAAGAAUUACUUCUCUUUAUGAAUAGACCUCGCUCAUUACGCUAUAUUGCAGAAAGAACUAACUUAUUUGAGACACUACCGGAUAAAACAUUUGUUAGGAGAUUUCGUUUGACAAAACAAACUGUAUCGCUUCUACUACAAGAAAUUCAACAACAUCUUGAAUUUAUUUCCACCAGAAAUAAUGCAGUUACUCCAAUGAACCAGUUGUUAUGCACACUCCGAUAUUAUGCAACUGGAAGUCAGUUAAUUACUUGUGGAGAUGUGAUAGGUGUGGAAGAACCAACAGCAGCUUGCAGAAUCAUUCAUAGAGUUACUCAUGCAAUAGCAUUAUUGUAUAAAAUAUACAUUAAAUCUCCUGAUACCAUUCAGGAACAACGUUUUUUUGCUCUCUAUAAUGUGCAAGUAUGGUUCCAAUACAUUGCACAAUAAAUCUUGUUCUUCCCUUGUAAAAUUAGGGGCACGAACACGAGAAGAAGUUGCUUGACUAUUCAUUUUACUUUGAAAUCACAACAACAAAUAAAUACAAACACCACCACGCGGUGAAAGCCGAAAUAAGUUUUGUUUUGAAAUAAAUAGUGUUAUUUUGUCUAUGUUUGAAAUUGAUAGAUUGACUCCGUUUUACGCUGAGUCGUUUCGAAUGUUCAAUAAAAAAUAUGAAGUCUCUCAUUAAAAAGAUGUGGAACUGAACGUAAAUAACAAAUCGCAGGAUGCUAAACGCAUUUAACUAAAUAGUAAUCAAAAGACCAUGGUGAAUUAUGAAGCUAAACAUGUUUAGGAUAAAAUUGUUUAGUGCAUUAAACGAAAUUAGCUAAAUGAAUUUAUGUAGUAUUUAAAUAGAAGUUCGUAACAGCCACCCU